rnacentral:rRNA from 1 species
AUUGAACGCUGGCGGCAUGCCUUACACAUGCAAGUCGAACGGCAGCACGGGAGCAAUCCUGGUGGCGAGUGGCGAACGGGUGAGUAAUAUAUCGGAACGUGCCCAGUCGUGGGGGAUAACGCAGCGAAAGCUGUGCUAAUACCGCAUACGAUCUCUGGAUGAAAGCGGGGGACUCGCAAGAGCCUCGCGCGAUUGGAGCGGCCGAUAUCAGAUUAGCUAGUUGGUGGGGUAAAAGCUCACCAAGGCGACGAUCUGUAGCUGGUCUGAGAGGACGACCAGCCACACUGGAACUGAGACACGGUCCAGACUCCUACGGGAGGCAGCAGUGGGGAAUUUUGGACAAUGGGCGCAAGCCUGAUCCAGCAAUGCCGCGUGCAGGAUGAAGGCCUUCGGGUUGUAAACUGCUUUUGUACGGAACGAAACGGCUCUUUCUAAUAAAGAGGGCUAAUGACGGUACCGUAAGAAUAAGCACCGGCUA